GACAGUUUGGCUGAGUGGUUUUAGGCGCUAGUUUUAGGCGCUAGUUCGAAAGGGCGCGAGUUCGAAUUUCAUAGUUGUUA